UGCAAGUCGAGCGGAUGAGAGGAGCUUGCUCCUGGAUUCAGCGGCGGACGGGUGAGUAAUGCCUAGGAAUCUGCCUGGUAGUGGGGGACAACGUUUCGAAAGGAACGCUAAUACCGCAUACGUCCUACGGGAGAAAGCAGGGGACCUUCGGGCCUUGCGCUAUCAGAUGAGCCUAGGUCGGAUUAGCUAGUUGGUGAGGUAAUGGCUCACCAAGGCGACGAUCCGUAACUGGUCUGAGAGGAUGAUCAGUCACACUGGAACUGAGACACGGUCCAGACUCCUACGGGAGGCAGCAGUGGGGAAUAUUGGACAAUGGGCGAAAGCCUGAUCCAGCCAUGCCGCGUGUGUGAAGAAGGUCUUCGGAUUGUAAAGCACUUUAAGUUGGGAGGAAGGGUUGUAGAUUAAUACUCUGCGAUUUUGACGUUACCGACAGAAUAAGCACCGGCUAACUCUGUGCCAGCAGCCGCGGUAAUACAGAGGGUGCAAGCGUUAAUCGGAAUUACUGGGCGUAAAGCGCGCGUAGGUGGUUUGUUAAGUUGGAUGUGAAAUCCCCGGGCUCAACCUGGGAACUGCAUCCAAAACUGGCAAGCUAGAGUAUGGUAGAGGGUGGUGGAAUUUCCUGUGUGGCGGUGAAAUGCGUAGAUAUAGGAAGGAACACCAGUGGCGAAGGCGACCACCUGGACUGAUACUGACACUGAGGUGCGAAAGC
rnacentral:rRNA from 1 species